rnacentral:miRNA from 15 species
GCUCUUUUUCUCACCCAUCAGCACAGAAUUUUUCGCUAACAGAAACCUCAAAACAAUGUAAGUGAAUUGUUUUGUGUAGAUGGUGGAAAUGAGC